CGCUCAGCUGGAGUGCUGAUAAGAUGAGUGGGAAGGGCUGAGCACCAGCCCGGCCCAGGUGAGGCUCUCCCCACCCUGGGGGCAGAGCCAAGGCCCAGCUGUGUGCUUGGGCUCAUCAGGCAGCAGGAGGGUGGUGGAUGGCUGAUGACGGUGCUGGGCAGUGGGGCCAUGGAUGUGGAAGGUGUGACUGAUUUCAGAGCCCUGCGAGCCAAAUUUCAGCAUGACUCCAGCCUUGCCACCAAGCCUGUACAGCCCCGCCAGAAGCCUUCCCCCAGGUUGGGCUCCGGAGGCAGCAGCGCACCCAGCCCUGUGCCCACCAGUAAGACAGAUGUGCAGGCACCCAGACCCCGCAGUGAACCUCCCUGUCUCACAUCUCAGCCCUCUGCUGUUGUCCAGAGAGCCAAGAUGGGUCGCACAGAGCCGAUGGAGUGCAAUGAAGAGCGCAAAGGAAAUGUCUCGGUGAAAGGGCUGAGCUCUCCCAAAAACAGUUCUCCAAAGCAUCCAGUGUCCUACUGCACCGAGCAGCAAGCACCAACCCAAGCAGACCCUGAGGAUGCUCCACUCCUGAACUCUUUCCAUCAUGCCCUGCAGAUGUGGAAAAACACUUUAUCUGGUGGAGAGAAAGCAAACACUGAACCACCAGCCCGGCGGGUGAUGAACCUCUAUGUGCAGCCCAGCCCAGAACAAAGGGUGCUUCGUGCUCCUGCCGCAUCAAAUGGCAGCAAGGAGCCUCCAGUUGGGAGCCAUCCUGCACCAACCCAACCUACUCAGGGGCUGGCUUCUGCCCAGGGAAAUGGGAGAGCUGCUGGGAGCUCUGUGGCAACCGCAUUGCAACCUCAACACCAGAAAGAGCCAAAGCCUCCCCUCUGCCAGCCAAGAGCAGAGACACAGUUGGACAGCCCAAGCAGCAAACCACCCAAGAUAAGACCUCUUCCUUCAACUGCAUCCCUGGGUCCUGCCCCUCAGAAGCCCUCGAGACCCCCAAAGGUUGAUCUCAGCGCUUUCCGAACCACAGUACCUUCAGUCUACAGACAAAACCAAACAACUGCUGAGGAAGAGGAUUACUUGAUCCCCGAAAGCACUCAACUUGAAGAGCAGCAUAAUUACAAAAAAACCCUGACGUACCUGAAUCAGUCUGGGGACACCACGACCUUGUGUGUCAUUGAAGUACCUAAGGUAGAACCUCAAGAACACAAGAAACAGAAGAGUUUUCUCUUCGGUGAAUCCAGUCCUGGAAGAGCUAUAAUAGAAGAUGAAAAAGAAGGAAAAACAAGUCUUGAAAGAGAGAAACAAGAAGUAAAGAAGCCAGGUGGAAAUGAGUAUGUAACUCUCAACGGCCAAACCAGGGAAGAUGACAGAGGUGGGAUGAAGGUGUCACAUAUGAGGCAAGAUGUGACCAGUACCCCCCAAAAGCUGGCAAAAGACAGAGCAGUACCCUUGUACUAUGGUGCCCCCAAACCAACUGAAGACAGAGCAACCUCGAGCCCAAACCAUCGGCAGCUGCUGCUGACACCAGAGGAUGUGUACGAUGACGUUGAGGGACUUCAAGACAGGCUCAGCCAUGCAUCAGAUGCCUUGAGUCCAUCUGUUUCAGACAACAUUUCAGGAAGCAACUACGAAGAAACAUAUGAUGAUGUUGGGACUGGGAGUGAUAAUCCAGCAAAAGAGGAAGCAGAAAAACAAAAGAGAUUUGGAAAGCUGUUUAAGAUAGAAAAAUUGAAACUGAAAAAUACCAGGUUCAAGGAAAACUUAAGGUUGUUUUCCAUGUCAGUGCCAAAUUUAGCGGAUGUCUCCCAGGAGGACAUGGUGUACGAUGACGUUGAGACAGAGCAGAAAGACCCCAGAGAGAAGGAUGACAGGUACAAAACGUGGAUGCCAAAAUUCCUGAUGGCAAAAGAAGCGAAGGACCGACGGAGAAGCAGUGACGAUGUCGAAAGAAGUAUCUUUAAAGUCAAGAAGAGCAAUGCAGAAAAAAAUAAGAUGGAAAAAGAAGAGAAGAUAUUUAGAGAAACGUUUCUGUACGACAAGAAGAUCAGUGUCAUCAACACAGCAACCGCUGCAUGCUCCAUCCCCAGUAAGAGGAGAGCCGACCUCCCGCUCACAGCUGGGGAACAGCUGGAUGUGAUCGAUGUCACCGAGGGCAGCGCAGUGAUAUGCCGCAAUUCAGAGGGCAGAUAUGGGUAUGUCCUAGUGGAGCACUUGAACUUCAGGCAGUACUGACCACCCCGGAGCAUCCCCAAAGUGCUGUUCUGAGCCUGGGAGAGCCCGUGUUUGUCAACGUGGGGAGCUGAUGCCAAUUUACUUCCAGGGUUACUCUCUUUCUACCUCCCUGUUCACCUCUGGAAUGGCUACAAAAUUUGCAUGAGGAAUCUCAUGCAGUUUAGUUGCUCCAUGUCCAUCUCCUCCUGCCCAUUAUAAGUGCUGGAAUUACGUGGUUUCUAAUCGCAUAACAUUGAGUUUCCUUUCGUCUCAAUAGAAGUAUUGGGACAACAAGUAUUUAUUGCAUUCUUGCUGGAUGAAGUAUAUAAGACAGUGGAAAAGCUGGCUAGUUCCUUUCCAAAAUAAAGAAGGAAAAAAAAAUUAGAAAGUAAAUAAAGCCUUCAGUAGAAAUGUGCUUUAUUUUUGCAAGCUAACAUAGGCAUCCAGGCCAUGUGAAGGCUGCCUUCUGGCUUCCCCACUGUGCAGCAGCAGGUAUUCACCCAACAGUUGUCCCUGUGUUCAGAAUUGCUGAGUGCUUAUUUUAAGAAAAAUGCUCCUAAAAGUAGGAGGAGAAAUAUAAACUGCCAAUGGCUUCUCCUCGGUGCAUCCUGUGAAUACCUUUUUAAAAGAAGAAAAAAAAAAAAAA